rnacentral:tRNA from 1 species
GCCUGGGUGGCUCAAUCGGUUGAGCGUCUGACUUCAGCUCAGGUCAUGAUCUCACAGUCUGUGAGUUCGAGCCCCAUGUCAGGCU